GUGAAUCAUCGAAUUUUUGAACGCAAAUUGCGCCUUUUUCGGAAGGCAUGUGUGUUUGAGGGCACCAUUUAACAAAUAAUGUGCAUUUUUGUGUGCAUACGUUGAUGGGCUUUCCACCAUUAUGUAUUAUUUUUGGUUGCGCAUAAUAAACAGCGCGAUGCUUUUUUUCAGUUCGAGCGUAGUUAAAUUACUUUUUGCUCGGGUUGUGAAAAAGAGUGUUCGUGCAAUGGGUGU
rnacentral:misc_RNA from 1 species